AGUGAACGCUGGCGGUAGGCCUAACACAUGCAAGUCGAACGGCAGCACAGUAAGAGCUUGCUCUUACGGGUGGCGAGUGGCGGACGGGUGAGGAAUACAUCGGAAUCUACUUUUUCGUGGGGGUUAACGUAGGGAAACUUACGCUAAUACCGCAUACGACCUACGGGUGAAAGCAGGGGAUCUUCGGACCUUGCGCGAUUGAAUGAGCCGAUGUCGGAUUAGCUAGUUGGCGGGGUAAAGGCCCACCAAGGCGACGAUCCGUAGCUGGUCUGAGAGGAUGAUCAGCCACACUGGAACUGAGACACGGUCCAGACUCCUACGGGAGGCAGCAGUGGGGAAUAUUGGACAGAGGGCGCAAGCCUGAUCCAGCCAUACCGCGUGGGUGAAGAAGGCCUUCGGGUUGUAAAGCCCUUUUGUUGGGAAAGAAAAGCAGCAGGUUAAUACCCCGCUGUUCUGACGGUACCCAAAGAAUAAGCACCGGCUAACUUCGUG
rnacentral:rRNA from 1 species